rnacentral:rRNA from 1 species
UACAUGGGGUGCAAACGUUGCUCGGAAUUAUUGGGCGUAAAGCGCGCGUAGGCGGUUACUCAAGUCGGAUGUGAAAGCCCUCGGCUUAACUGAGGAAGUGCACCCGAAACUGAGUAGCUAGAGUACUAAAGAGGGUCGCGGAAUUCCCGGUGUAGAGGUGAAAUUCGUAGAUAUCGGGAGGAACACCGGUGGCGAAGGCGGCGACCUGGGUAGAUACUGACGCUGAGGUGCGAAAGCGUGGGGAGCAAACAGG